CCGUAUUUUGUGUAUUUGUUUAGCUUCUAUUCUGCGUUUCAGACGGCGAGCUAGCAUUGCGUCUGCUUUGUUACUUUUUUCAUAGUAUGUUUGCUUAAGCCACAUCAUGGCUUUUGCCGUAUCCGCUUGUGUAAGUUGUUUCACUUGUCGCCGUAUGUCUGUCAGUUGGGCCAGAGUGGACUGCAGCGGGCGUUGUUUGUGUUCUGUUUCUAAGCGUCGGAGGUCCGCUAGGGCAUUUAUGAGGUUUUGUUGUCUUUGUCUUUUUUUAGCCGAUGCUAGGCUAAUUAGGUGUCCCCUGAUGACUGUUUUGUGGGCUGCCCAUAUGGAGAUUGGUGAGAUGUCUGUUGUGGAAUUUAGUUCAAAAUAGUCUGUGAGGUGUUUUGAGAUUUCUGUUUUGAGUGCUGUGUCGUGUAGGAGGAGUGGGUUGAGCUUCCACGUCCAGUGCUUUUUGAGGUGGGGUAUGUUUAAGG